UAGGGAAUCUUCGGCAAUGGGGGCAACCCUGACCGAGCAACGCCGCGUGAGUGAAGAAGGUUUUCGGAUCGUAAAGCUCUGUUGUAAGAGAAGAACGUGUGUGAGAGUGGAAAGUUCACACAGUGACGGUAACUUACCAGAAAGGGACGGCUAACUACGUGCCAGCAGCCGCGGUAAUACGUAGGUCCCGAGCGUUGUCCGGAUUUAUUGGGCGUAAAGCGAGCGCAGGCGGUUUAAUAAGUCUGAAGUUAAAGGCAGUGGCUUAACCAUUGUUCGCUUGGGAAACUGUUAAACUUGAGUGCAGAAGGGAAGAGUCGAAUUCCUUGUGUAGCAGUGAAAUGCGUAGAUAUAUGGAGGAACACCGGUGGCGAAAGCGGCUCUCUGGUCUGUAACUGACGCUGAGGCUCGAAAGCGUGGGGAGCAAACAGG
rnacentral:rRNA from 1 species